UGCCAUGACUCCAUGCUGAUGCUUACCAAACCUUGUCCUCAAAAAUCUUCCUGUUUCCCUGCUCUAAAGCAUGCCACAUUCGCUGCAUGAGAUGCACUAGCAGAAUCCAACUCACAGGUUUUACAUUAAAUUGGGGCCCCCUACAAGGAAACAUGCAAUUCUAUGGCUACGAAUCCUGUGGUAGGGAGUAGGCAUUGGCGCAGUCGUCUGAUUCCGGUGCAGUGCUCUAACCAAGUGAGCUACAGAGGGCAGUUGUCAAGCUCUAACCAGAAGUUCAUGUAUAUAUACGAGCUAGGGUACUGCCAUGUAUAGGUUAUGGGUAAAUAUCAAGAUUUUUUUGUUGGCGUCUCACUCGAUUGAAUAAUAUUUGAUGAGUAUUGUAGAUGGAAAUUGUGGAGUGGAAAUUUAUACACAGCUAUGGUUGGUACCUUCAUGCACAAAUAGAGACCUCUGUCAGCAGGAAAGUUGGGCGUAAAUUAAGUUGCAUUUUUUUGCAGCUGUUCCACAUGGUUAGGUCUAAUAAUUUUAGUAUAUAAAUUUCCACUCCACAAUUUCCAUCUAUAAUACAAUCAAAUAUUAUUCAAUCAAUUAACUGAGAUGCCAACAAAAAAUCUUGAUACUUGAUUAGUAACAUAUUUGCAGCGAAGCAGUGAAGUGUAAAUUGAGUUUAUUCAUUCAUCUGCAUACCUAUAGGUAUUCAUAGAUUAGAUCCAGACUGUAUCAGGCCUCGAAUUUCCCUGAAAAUAAUCGACGGCAAUGCCAAUGGCGUUAAAAAUUGCUGUAGAACGUAACAGCUGUAUGUCUACGGCAAUUUUGGCAGUUUCCACG